rnacentral:lncRNA from 10 species
GAACGAUCUUCUCCGUUAUUAGUCAUUAAUCUGAAUUUACUUUUUCUUUCAGAGUCUACUUUAGCAUGCAGUUAAGAGUCACAAUUAUGAUGCCAAUAUGUGUUUCUGGACUUCAGAAGAACUUAAUACCACCUCAGUAUAUCUUGCCUUACGGAAUCUUGCUGUAUCGCCAGGCUGGAGUGCAGUGGCGCAGUGGCGCGAUCUUGGCUCACUGCAACCUCCGACUCCCAGGU